GGGGAGGCUGACAUGUACUUUUCCCAACUUGCCCUCUCUUCUAUUUCCAGGAGGACAACUGCGUGUGUGUUGGGGGAAAAGGCAGCUGAAGGUGCAGGGAUGGUGGGGAGUAACCAGGCUUGAAUGAUAUCUGAAAACAAAAUAAGUCUUAUACGGCAAGUGGACAUGUAAAUUGCUAUAACCUUUCUGGAGGGCAAUUUUGAAAUAUGUCUCAAAAGCUUUACUAUUCCACAUACUCUUUGAUAUUCCAAUUUAUAUGAAUUUACAUUAAGGAAAUAAUAAUGGAUAGUGUUCACUGAGGCAUGAACAUCUUUGUAGUAAGAACCAGAAAUCAACCUAAAUGUCUAACAAUAACUAAAUUAGCAUACAUGUCCUGCUACAGACUGAGUUGUGUCCCCCCAAAACUCAGAGGUUGAAUCCCUAACCCCCAAUGUGCCUGUGUUUGGAGGCAGGGCCUAUAAGGAGGUAAUUAAGGUUAAGGGGGGUCAUUAGGGUGGGGCCCUAAUCCAGUAGGACUGGUGUCCUUCUAAGAAGAAGAAGAGAUACCCGGAGUGUGCACGCACAGAGAGAAGGCCAUGUGAGGACACAGCAAGCAGGCAGCUGUCUGCAAGCCAAGGAGCGAGGCCCGGCCAGAAACCAACCCUGCCAGCACCUUGAUCUUGGACUUCCACCUUCAGAACGUUUAGGACUUAUGGUUUGGCUAAAUCCCUUUACUAAAAUCACAAAUGCUGCGUGAAUUGAUGGACAAGGAGACAAGAAAGAAUCCUGUAGCCCAUGCUCAUACUCCCAGACACAGCAAGUAGAGGGACAUUUUUAUGUGACCCAGGAACUGAAUUGAAAAGACAAAUGUGAGGCUCCGGAACUUCCAGAAAACCAAACGCUGCCUGUGUGCAUGUCAGUCACCCAAGAAAGUCAGUUCUUGAUGGUGAAUGUUUAACAGAAUUCCAGAGAAGAUCAGGGGAGUGUCACCUAUUUAUUCAUUCAACACACUUAUUUAGCAGCUACUCUGGGCACGGUGUCAUUUUAGGGUCUAGAGAUAGAAUAAUGAAUGCAAAAGAGACAAAUUGCCACCUGUGUGGGGUUUACAUUCUAGUAAAUGUACUCUAUGCCAUGUUAGAGAGAUCAUAAAGCAAGCAGGGUUAAAGGGAGUUUUUUGGUGGGGUGGGUGAAGUUGUAAUUUUAGAUGGAAUGGAAAUUAAAGGAUGCCCUCAGAAUGUAACUUUUAAACAAACAGCUGAAAAAAAAAAGAGGGGAUUAGUAAUGAGAUUCUCUGGGGGAAGAGAAUCCCGGGUAGAGGGAACAGCGAGGGAGGCAGCUCAGUGGUAUGAGCACGCCUGAUGUAUUUACAGAGAAAUCAGACCAGUACGGCUGGAGCAGAUGACCAAAAAAGAGUCGUAGAAGGGAAGUGAGAGAGGUGACGGGAGCCAGAUCACGUGGGGCACUGUAGGUCAUCGCUGGAGCUGAGAAGUCUCUGAAGGGCUUUGAGCAAAAGGAGCAUGAGGAGCCGUAGUCAUUUCCAGCCUUCUUGUGCUUAAGAACACUACACAGAACUUUAGUCCUACACUUGGGGUCAUUUUAAACAGCAAAAAGCCAAAAAUGUGGCACCACAUCCUGUAAAAAGGCCACUUGUUUACUGUGUGAGAGCUGAAACAAGAACGCAAAGCAGCUCCUUUCCUCUUUCAGCUGAGAACGUUCAUGUCAAGUGAUUCAACUGUCUCGCCUCUCCGAGUAUGUCUGCAAAUGACUGUGAAAGAGCCGCGAUCCUGAUUUGGGGGUUAGAAAUAAAUUCCAGUGAGUAGAGCUAAGUCCAACCAUAUCAAUAUGCACAUUAAAUCUAAGUGACUAAGCACUUCGCUAGAAGCCAGAGAUUGACAAAACGAUUCUUUAUAAAAGCAAGCUCUACCUCUAUACUGUCUACGAAAGACACACUUUAAUACACAAAAAUACAAAUAAGUUGAAUGUAAAAUGAUGAAAAAAGUUCUAUCAUGCAAAUACUGCUCAACUGACAGCUCAAGUGGCUAUAUUAAUAUGAGACACAAUAAACUUCAAGACAAGGAGUAUUAUUUAGAGAUAAAGUGUAAUAUUUCAUAUAUAAUAAAAGGGUUCAUUCAUCAGGAAGAUACAACAAUUUUAAAUGUGUAUGGGCUUAAUUUGACUUCAAAAUACAUAAAGCCAAAACUUAUAGAACUAAAGGGAGUGACAGACAAAUGCACAAUGAUUUCUCAGUAAUUGUUAGAACAACUAGACCAAAGAUUCAGUAAAGAUGAAGAAGACUGGAUCACUGUUAACCAUCCUGACUUCAGUACCUUUGUGGAAGACUACCCCUACCAACUGCAGGAUGCACGUCCGUUUCCAAGAGACAUGAGACGUUCACCAGAAUAUACCAUAGGCUGGGCUCAUAAAAGGUCUCAAUAUACUUCAAAUGAUUGAAAUCUUAUAGAUAGGUUCUCUGAUCACAAGGACUUUAUAUUAGAAAUCAAUAACAAUAAGCUAUCUAGAAAAGCCAUAAAUAUUUGGAAAUAUAAGAAUAAAUUUCUAUACAACGCAUGGAUCAAAGAAGAAACCACAAGAAAAGUAUAAAUAAUUUUUAUUUGAAUGAUAAUGAAAAUACGACAUACCAAAAAGUUGUGUGAUGCAGCUAAAGUACCACUUAGAGUGAUACGUGAGAUUUUAAAUGCUACGUUAGAAGAGAAGAAAGAUCUGAUUUCAAUGAUCUUUAAGAUGCUAGGAAAAGAUGGGCAAAAUAUAUCCUCAGUGAGCAGAAGAAGGAAAUUAAUAAAGAGCAGAUAUCAGCAAAAUAGAAAGAAGAAAAAUAGAAAAAAUGAAAAGGCAAAGACAAUUCCUUGAAAAUAUCAAUAAAAUCAACAGUCCCAUAAUAAAACUGAUUAAGGGUGACAAAUUGAAAUGGCAAGCAAUAGGAUAUAUUGGAGUAUAUGAGGAAGUCAUUUGGUAUAAACCUAAUUCGGCCUGACUUUGUUUUUUCCAAAAGGGCCUGACUGUGGCCAUUGAGCACGCAUUGUAUAUCUGCUUAGACAUUUUGAGAUAAAGGUGCAACUUCCCUCCCCCUCCCAAUGUUGGCAUCUCCUUAAAGAUUAAGCAUCUUUCAUUAGGCUGGGAACUGAUUGCAGCGCUCAUCUGUGACCGCCCAGCUCAAGGCAACAGACCUGCCACCCUGUGGGUUCACCGAGAAGCAGCUGUUUCCAUCAAUCGCUGUGCUGACAGAGCAGCCUCGUAACUAUUGUAAAAGGGACAUUUCAGUCAUAUGUGAAACAUACUCUUUGAGGGUAUAUAACCACCCUGUACACCCCCACUUCUUUGGAGUGCUCUGUUCCUUUGUGGAAAGACUCUCCCG
rnacentral:lncRNA from 1 species